rnacentral:rRNA from 1 species
AUGCGAGGAAAGGUACAGACUCGCACCCGCGACGCGCCCCGCGCGCGCGUCGCGGGAGAAACCCUAGCGCUGCCGGUGGGCUGCCCCUCCUCCUCCCUCCUCUCCCUCGCCGCCGCCAGAGAGGGCGCGCCAGGGCGAAGCCUGGUAGGCGUCGACGGUGGCGGGGCUGCCUUGUCUCCUCAGCGGGGGCCUUCGGUGUGGGUCGAGGCGGCUGCCUGGGAUGCGGCGCUGGCGGCGGGCGCGGCAGCAUGGCGACAAGCUGGAGCCUGCUGGCGGCGGCUUCGUGGCGACGGCGUGACCAGCGCGGCGGUGGCGGGCGUGCCUUGA